UACGGGUUGCUGCAGUGGGGAAUAUUGGACAAUGGGCGAAAGCCUGAUCCAGCCAUGCCGCGUGUGUGAAGAAGGCCUUCGGGUUGUAAAGCACUUUCAGUGGGGAAGAAAGCCUUGGGGCUAAUACCCUCGAGGAAGGACAUCACCCACAGAAGAAGCACCGGCUAACUCCGUGCCAGCAGCCGCGGUAAUACGGAGGGUGCGAGCGUUAAUCGGAAUUACUGGGCGUAAAGCGCGCGUAGGCGGUCUGAUAAGCCGGUUGUGAAAGCCCCGGGCUCAACCUGGGAACGGCAUCCGGAACUGUCAGGCUAGAGUGCAGGAGAGGAAGGUAGAAUUCCCGGUGUAGCGGUGAAAUGCGUAGAGAUCGGGAGGAAUACCAGUGGCGAAGGCGGCCUUCUGGACUGACACUGACGCUGAGGUGCGAAAGCGUGGGUAGCAAACAGGAUUAGAUACCCGAGUAGUC
rnacentral:rRNA from 1 species